UGCUGUAACCAUUUUAUGAUUCUGUGAUAUGUGUUUGUAGUUACAAUAGAACCAUAGAAACGUUACGGCACA
rnacentral:pre_miRNA from 1 species